rnacentral:tRNA from 1 species
GCCUGGGUGGCUCAGUGGGUUAAAGCCUUUGCCUUCAGCUCAGGUCAUGUGGGAUCGAGCCCCACAUCGGGCU